GAUGAAGAACGUAGCGAAAUGCGAUAAGUAAUGUGAAUUGCAGAAUUCAGUGAAUCAUCGAAACUUUGAACGCACCUUGCACCCUUUGGUAUUCCGAAGGGUAUGCUCGUUUGAGUGUCAUUGUACUCUCACACUUCUAAUUCCUUUCGGGAUUGGGAGCGGUGGACUUGGGUGUUGCUGCUUUAGUUGUGGCUCACCUCAAAUAAGUUAGUGCAACUCUUGGUUGGACAUAGUACGGCGUGAUAAGUGUCUUCGCCGGCGCCUCUGUAAGGAGGGUGGCCGAUCGGGAGCUCUGUGCUUCAAACCGUCUUCGGACAAUCUUUGACAACUUGACCUCAAAUCGAGUAGGACUACCCGCUGAACUUAAGCAUAUCAAUAAGCGGAGGAA
rnacentral:misc_RNA from 1 species